AUGCUAGCUUUGGCAGCACACACACUAAAACUGGAGAUUAGCAUGGUCCCUGCUCAAGGAUGAAAUGCAAAUUUGUGAAGCAUCCCAUAUUUUU
rnacentral:snRNA from 1 species